rnacentral:rRNA from 1 species
CAGUCGCCGCGGUAAUACGGAGGGAGCUAGCGUUGUUCGGAAUUACUGGGCGUAAAGCGCACGUAGGCGGCUUUGUAAGUUAGAGGUGAAAGCCUGGAGCUCAACUCCAGAAUUGCCUUUAAGACUGCAUCGCUUGAAUCCGGGAGAGGUGAGUGGAAUUCCGAGUGUAGAGGUGAAAUUCGUAGAUAUUCGGAAGAACACCAGUGGCGAAGGCGGCUCACUGGACCGGCAUUGACGCUGAGGUGCGAAAGCGUGGGGAGCAAACAGGAUUAGAUACCCGGGUAGUCCCUGUCUCUUAUAA